rnacentral:rRNA from 1 species
CCCUUAGAUGUUCUGGGCUGCACGCGCGCUACACUGAACAGUUCAACAAGUCUUAACCUUGGCCGAUAGGUCUGGGUAAUCUUUGAACGCUGUUCGUGAUUGGGAUAGACCUUUGCAAUUAUGGGUCUUCAACGAGGAAUUCCUAGUAAACGCAAGUCAUCAGCUUGCAUUGAUUACGUCCCUGCCCUUUGUACACACCGCCCGUCGCACCUACCGAUUGAAUGGUCCGGUGAAAUCUCGGGACGGCGGCUCGGUCGCUUGCGUCCGACUGCUGAAACUUGAUUAAACCAUAUCAUUUAGAGGAAGGUGAAGUCGUANCA